AGCAGCCGCGGUAAUUCCAGCUCCAAUAGCGUAUAUUAAAGUUGUUGCAGUUAAAAAGCUCGUAGUUGAAUUUCGGGGUUAGUAGGUUGGUCAUGCCUCUGGUAUGUACUGGUCUCACUGAUUCCUCCUUCCUGAUGAACCUUAAUGCCAUUAAUUUGGUGUUUUGGGGAAUUUGGACUGUUACUUUGAAAAAAUUAGAGUGUUUAAAGCAAGCUAACGCUUGAAUACAUUAGCAUGGAAUAAUGAAAUAGGACGUUCGAUCCUAUUUUGUUGGUUUCUAGGAUUGACGUAAUGAUUAAUAGGGGUAGUUGGGGGCAUUAGUAUUCAAUUGUCAGAGGUGAAAUUCUUGGAUUUAUUGAAGACUAACUACUGCGAAAGCAUUUGCCAAGGAUGUUUUCAUUAAUCAAGAACGAAAGUUAGGGGAUCGAAGACGAUCAGAUACCGUCGUAGUCUUAACCAUAAACUAUGCCGACUAGGGAUCGGAUGAUGUUAAUUUUUUUAAUGACUCAUUCGGCGCCUU
rnacentral:rRNA from 1 species